AUCUUAUUAUGGUUAAUUGUGCAUAUAAUAACUUGACCAAAUGGUAUAUAUAAACAUCUGAAAAUGUAGUUUGGUAAUUGAAAUUCAGUCAGUCCAAACACUGAAAAAGAAUCCACAAAAUGCUGUUUGUUGCUGUUCUAUUCGUUGUAUAUGUAAACAGUGCUGUUUACGCUUCGUCCUGUCCUUCAUACGGCUGUAGAGACCACUACACAAGGUGUAGUGUCUUGGCCCGUAAUGGACUAUGCAGAAUUUACAGUAAAAGCUGUUGUAAAAGUUGUAGUGGUUGUAAAGACAGGAGCUCAAAGUGUAGUUACUGGGCUAAAAUAGGAGAAUGCUAUAAAAGCCCAGAGUUCAUGCAUACAACGUGUUGUAAAAGUUG